rnacentral:rRNA from 1 species
UGGGGAAUAUUGCGCAAUGGGCGGAAGCCUGACGCAGCGACGCCGCGUGGGGGAUGACGGCCUUCGGGUUGUAAACCUCUUUCAGUAGGGACGAAGCGAAAGUGACGGUACCUACAGAAGAAGCACCGGCCAACUACGUGCCAGCAGCCGCGGUAAUACGUAGGGUGCAAGCGUUGUCCGGAAUUAUUGGGCGUAAAGAGCUCGUAGGCGGUCUGUCGCGUCGGCUGUGAAAUCCCGGAGCUCAACUCCGGGUCUGCAGUCGAUACGGGCAAACUGGAGUACUGCAGGGGAGACUGGAAUUCCUGGUGUAGCGGUGAAAUGCGCAGAUAUCAGGAGGAACACCGGUGGCGAAGGCGGGUCUCUGGGCAGUAACUGACGCUGAGGAGCGAAAGCGUGGGGAGCGAACA